CCAAAGAGCCAAGACAAGCAAACCAGUGAUGGGGUUUCAAUACCGAAUGAAGAGGUAACGUGCGUCAAACGUCACCAGUCACGUGACCAAGCCAUGCCUCGGCACAGUGAUUUGAUGCUGCCUCAGGUGUCAGAGGCCCAUCACUGCUGACAGGGCGGACCAGCCCAAGAAGAUAAAUGUAUCGUGAAAACCUAACUCCUGGUUCAGAGAACGGAUUUCCUGCAGGAUCUGUCGCUCUGAUCCCAGCGCUGCGGCAGUGGCCAGAGGAUCCUGUUGGCUACACAAGAUGCCCACACGCAUGCUUUGUUUUCCCUUCCCUCCCUUACAAAUUGACAUUUACCCCUUUAAGCUGUGGAGGGGUAAGUUCACCAGAACAAGAACAGUGGUUAACUUCAUACAUGGAUGCUCUAGGCAGGCAUUUUUAGGAUGCAGUGUAUGGGGUGGUGGUUUAUUGUAUGAAGGAUGUCUUUGUUCUUCAUGCAUGAAGGUAGGUGACGCUGAUCUCACUUGAGGUGGAUUCACCAAGUUUUGUAGAGCUUUUAAUUGCAUUACAGGCUUUCUCAUCCAUGUACUAGUACUUUUACUCAUGUUCCCUUGCUUACUCUGGCAACAUGCACAACAGUAGGACUAACCAUCCUUUGAAUAGGUGUGUACACUAUUUAUUACAAACCUCCAGAUGGUAACUGUUCAGACCAUUGUGACGUGUUGCAUCAUUCUUAUUGCUGGGGAUAGCUUCUCAAAGUGAAAUUGGAGCAUAUCAUGCUUAAAACUCAAGCUUUUUCCAUUUCUCCCUUAAGCAAUCCUGAACCAGAUGUCAUUCUGUGGAC